GGUUGCGGCCAUAUCUACCAGAAAGCACCGUUUCCCGUCCGAUCAACUGUAGUUAAGCUGGUAAGWGCCUGACCGAGUAGUGUAGUGGGUGACCAUACGCGAAACUCAGGUGUUGCAAUCU
rnacentral:rRNA from 1 species